GAUGAACGCUGGCGGCGUGCCUAAUACAUGCGAGUCGAGCGAACAGAUGAGGAGCUUGCUCCUCUGACGUUAGCGGCGGACGGGUGAGUAACACGUGGAUAACCUACCUAUAAGACUGGGAUAACUUCGGGAAACCGGAGCUAAUACCGGAUAAUAUAUUGAACCGCAUGGUUCAAUAGUGAAAGACGGUUUUGCUGUCACUUAUAGAUGGAUCCGCGCCGCAUUAGCUAGUUGGUAAGGUAACGGCUUACCAAGGCAACGAUGCGUAGCCGACCUGAGAGGGUGAUCGGCCACACUGGAACUGAGACACGGUCCAGACUCCUACGGGAGGCAGCAGUAGGGAAUCUUCCGCAAUGGGCGAAAGCCUGACGGAGCAACGCCGCGUGAGUGAUGAAGGUCUUCGGAUCGUAAAACUCUGUUAUUAGGGAAGAACAAAUGUGUAAGUAACUAUGCACGUCUUGACGGUACCUAAUCAGAAAGCCACGGCUGACUACGUG
rnacentral:rRNA from 1 species